rnacentral:rRNA from 1 species
AGAGUUUGAUCAUGGCUCAGGACGAACGCUGGCGGCGUGCCUAAUACAUGCAAGUCGAACGAGAAUUGCUUACACCGAGUGCUUGCACUCACCGUAAGGAAUUCGAGUGGCGGACGGGUGAGUAACACGUGGGUAACCUGCCUAUCAGAGGGGGAUAACACUUGGAAACAGGUGCUAAUACCGCAUAAUAUUGAAAAGCGCAUGCUUUUCAAUUAAAAGGCGCUUCUGGUGUCACUGAUAGAUGGACCCGCGGCGUAUUAGCUAGUUGGUGGGGUAACGGCCUACCAAGGCAAUGAUACGUAGCCGAGUUGAGAGACUGAUCGGCCACAAUGGGACUGAGACACGGCCCAUACUCCUACGGGAGGCAGCAGUAGGGAAUCUUCCACAAUGGGCGCAAGCCUGAUGGAGCAACGCCGCGUGCGUGAAGAAGGUCUUCGGAUCGUAAAGCGCUGUUGUUAGAGAAGAACACGGAUAAGAGUAACUGUUUAUGCGUUGACGGUAUCUAACCAGAAAGUCACGGCUAACUACGUGCCAGCAGCCGCGGUAAUACGUAGGUGGCAAGCGUUGUCCGGAUUUAUUGGGCGUAAAGGGAACGCAGGCUGUUUUUUAAGUCCGAUGUGAAAGCCUUCGGCUUAACCGAAGAAGUGCAUUGGAAACUGGGAGACUUGAGUGCAGAAGAGGAGAGUGGAACUCCAUGUGUAGCGGUGAAAUGCGUAGAUAUAUGGAAGAACACCAGUGGCGAAAGCGGCUCUCUGGUCUGUAACUGACGCUGAGGUUCGAAAGCAUGGGUAGCGAACAGGAUUAGAUACCCUGGUAGUCC